rnacentral:rRNA from 1 species
UCCGGUUGAUCCUGCCGGACCCGACCGCUAUCGGGGUAGGGCUAAGCCAUGCGAGUCGCGCGCCCGGGGGCGCCCGGGAGCGGCGCACGGCUCAGUAACACGUGCCCAACCUACCCUCGGGAGGGGGACACCCCCGGGAAACUGGGGCCAAUCCCCCAUAGGGGAGGGGCGCUGGAAGGCCCCCUCCCCCAAAGGGAUGGCGGCCGAUCCGCCGCCAUCCGCCCGAGGAUGGGGGCACGGCCCAUCAGGUAGUUGGCGGGUUAAAGGCCCGCCAAGCCGAAGACGGGUAGGGGCGGUGAGAGCCGCGAGCCCCGAGAUCGGCACUGAGACAAGGGCCGAGGCCCUACGGGGUGCAGCAGGCGCGAAUACUCCGCAAUGCGGGCAACCGCGACGGGGCUACCCCGAGUGCCGGGCGAAGAGCCCGGCUUUUGCCCGGUCUAAAAAGCCGGGAGAAUAAGCGGGGGGCAAGUCUGGUGUCAGCCGCCGCGGUAAUACCAGCUCCGCGAGUGGUCGGGGUGUUUACUGGGCUUAAAGCGCCCGUAGCCGGCCCGGCAAGUCGCUCCUGAAAUCCCCGGGCUCAACCCGGGGGCGGGGGGCGAUACUGCCGGGCUAGGGGGCGGGAGAGGCCGCCGGUACUCCGGGGGUAGGGGCGAAAUCCGUUAAUCCCCGGAGGACCACCAGUGGCGAAAGCGGGCGGCCAGAACGCGCCCGACGGUGAGGGGCGAAAGCCGGGGGAG